rnacentral:ncRNA from 1 species
GGGGACAAUGAUCGCGCUGGUGGCCUUGUGAGAGGCCUUAAAAGGGAAUGCGGUGCGGAUGGAUACAUCCAUCCAAUGCCGCGGCUGUCCCUGCAACUGUAAGUGGCGAGUGCGAUGUACAUGUGCGGACGGGCUAACGACUCGAACCGCCAGCCACUGGGCCGGACGCUAAGUCAUGCGAGGCCUGGGAAGGCCGUGCAUCAAGCGAUGACCCAUGAGCCAGGAGACCUGCCGGCGUCUGGUCGCUCUU